rnacentral:rRNA from 1 species
AAUAUUCCCCAAUGUGNGAAAGCUGAUGCAGCGACGCCGCGUGAGGGGAUGACGGCCUUCGGGUUGUAAACCUCUUUCAGCAGGGAAGAAGCGCAAGUGACGGUACCUAGCAGAAGAAGCACCGGCUAACUACGUGCCAGCAGCCGCGGUAAU